ACGCAAUCGUUGAAACUAUUUUUGCGUUCAAAAAUAAUGUAGCCAUUUUCAAUUAGAAUUUGGGUUUACAGGAGACGUUGAAUAUGGCGAUUCUACAAGAGACUUGAAUAUGAAACCCAACCAUCGGGUGUGAGUCUUGCAGUGAGGGAGAACAGUGGCAGCUUCAUCAGUGCUCUGAGUAUGUGGCUCUACAGUGACACUGACUACACUCAGAAACUCAUUGUUCCAGAGAAUGGAAUAAAUCUGAAGACCCGAAUCUUUGUGGGGGUGAAAGCCACCAAUCAAACAGAGAGGUUCCACAUUCUGCUUGACCGAUGCUACACAGCAACAAGUCCCAUUCCCAACAACAGCACCUACUAUGACCUCUUUGUUGGGUGUACAUACACAUGAUGGACAAACCAGGGUCGAGUUGAAUGGAGCGUCUCAGCAUGCACACCUUCCGUUUCAUUGAACACAAGAACAUGACCGUCACCACAUUCUACCUGCACUGUCACCCGACUCUGUGAGGUGUCCUCCUGUUCGUCCUUACUGCCUUCUCCUCCCAGUCCCAGAGAAGCCCAAUGGGCCAUAUGGCCGUCACAACUUCGGUGCUGGCUGUGAUCUGUCUCUCCGUGGCCCUGUUCAUUGGUCUCCUGAGAGGGGGGAGGGCUGGGAGCCAGACAUGAGGUUGAGGUCUUUUGAGACGGUGAAGACGGACCGUCAGCUGCAGUGACACGCUGGCCCAGCUCUGUACCUCCCUCUGCUUCUCCAGCACCAUGGAGUUCAUGAGCAACCAGCCCUGUCUCAAUGACCACUUCUGUCAUCACCUGGGAACCCUCACAAAGCCCACUAGUGAAGAGAACCAUAAUUCUAUGAGAGGUCCUCAGAUACAGUAGGACAUACAUUCAAUUACCCUCAAUGAAAAUUAUACAGGUAAUGAAACAAGACAUUUGGCCAAAUGUGUGUGUGUGUGUGUAUAUGUAUUGUCUACCAAAAAGAUCCCAUUCCAGAAUGUUACCAACAGUUUGAAAAUAAUGAAAAUCAGUCACAGGUUCCCAUACCAGCAAUUUCCUGACCAUGCAUGGUAAAAUAAUAGUCCUGCUGUUUGUGUGUUGGUCCACCUGGUGGGGCUGCUGAUGCAGUGUGCUUAGUGCUUUAUGGCCAAAGUGAUCUGGCACACCAUGUACAAAGUCACAUGUAGUGAGGGCCAUUACUCAGGCAGUUAUGUUUGAAGAGAUGGGUACAGAGUAGACUGUACACCACCCCCACACACAGACAGACCAUGGAGCUACUAAAACAUUUCACAUCUUCUGGACUAACUAUCAAUGAUCAAAACACUGAAUACUCAUCAUUGCACAUUCUUUAAUUGUGGUUAAUAAUGUUAGGAUGUACAUUCGUCAUGGAAAAUUCUGUCAUAACAAAUAUAAAUAAUGGAGUGAGUAAACUUGUUGUAAUUGAGGAUUAAACACCAAAAAUAAGUGUGUUUCGGCUGAUGAUAAUAAUCAUAAUAUUUGGCUUGUAUGAUUAUCAUUAAUAUAACAUAAAUGUAUUGAAGAGACAUAUGAUCAUCAACUUGUUCAGUAGAUUUUUACAAGUGCUUCUUCAUUCCUAUAUAUUCCAAUAUAAAAUGUAUUUGAUUAAUCUAGAUUACACAUCACAGUAUAUAAUAUAAAAAGCAACAAUGUUAUUUGAACUGUGGCAGGUUGAAGAUUUUCUCUCAGAGUCAUUCUCAUUUCAGCACAGUCUUUGCUGUGGUCAGCAUUCUCAGUGGCAGCACAUCCUCCACCCAUUCGUUUGGAGAGGUCAUCAUUCGUUCCCAUAGAGCAACCUCGUCAGCAUUCGAGUCCAUCCAAUUCACCACUGCCCCAUAACUUCUGCCUGUAUGAAGAGAUGGAGAGAAUUUAGGCUUAGCCAUUGUAAUCAAUUGAAUAAAAUGAACGUGUUUCUAUGGAGAAAUCUAGAAAAUGUCAUAGAAAAGUCCAUUAGUACCUGUGCCAGGCCCCAGUCUUAGACCCCCCAGGAAGUUACUAGCCAACUUGUCACGGUCCCACACGGUUAGCUCCACGCAAGCGUCUUUCAGGUCUUCCUGUCUGAAGCCGUCGUACACCAUGGUGUGGUUAAACACCGGCUCCACCGUCCUCCUCAGCACCCGUGUCUUCUGACGACUCUUUCUGCUCGUAUCUGGGAGCACGAAGCUACGGAGGAGGUAGUCUUACAAUAUUAUUACAUAUUCAACCUACAACUAUCCUGAGCAAAGCAAAUUUGAAAGGCUGGAAAUCAAGGCUAAGAAGGGAAUAUGUCUUUAUGAUAGGCCUCCACAUCUUCUGUUCUCCCCAGAAACUGUAGUUCUCCUUGAUCAUAUUUAGCCAUUCAUACAUUUCAAAUGUUGAUAUUAUUUAUGGCAUGUGUCGUACGUACCACUUGACAUAUGGGUCGAUGGUGGCCCCUCUGAUGAGGGGAAGGUUCUUGCAGUCUUUCACCCAAAUGUGAACCUCACCUUUGUUAGAGGGGGGGUCCUUGCCUAGGCCUAGGGAUCAGAAUCAAGCAUGAUUCAGUGAACGUGUACACUAGCUUUCUAUUGCAUAAAAGUCCUAUUUUAGGUAACUAGUUAACGAAAGCAACACAUUUUCUUGAUAAAAUAUACAUUUUCUAUAUAAUAAAUUGCUUAUAGAGACUGGUGACAGUUAAGACAUGUGAGGCAUACAGACUCUUACUGUGGGAGACCUGAGGCAGGAAGCGUAUGGCCAGUUUCAUCUCCCCUCUGUCAUCUGAGGGCUGCAGACUGGACGUGGGCUGAGGAGACCAGGGGAAGAAAGUCAGCACAGAGAGUACCCCAAUUUACGAUAUAGAACCACCACCUCACUGGACACUCUCCAAACCAUACUAACACCUCCACAACCUACUGUGUAUAGCAGCAUACACAUGUCAUGUCAAACAAUACUAACACGCACAGCCAUUGAAAUAAAUAACAAAAGCAGAGAUAUGGAUUUCAGUUUUGUAUUAUUGUUUUAGUACAGUGCUGAAUGACUCCAGUACACAGACAAAGCAGGUGUGUUGUUGUCUUACCCUGGAUUUCAGAGCUAAGUAGUUCAUCUGGGUGUGGUUAAAGUCCCAUUUGGACAGGUCCACAUCCACUUCGCCCAGAAAACUGUUCCUGCCAAAGGUGUCAUGGUGCCAGACGGAGAGAAUGAGGGUCUGAGUUCGGAGGUACUCCAUACGAAGCCGAUACUGAUGAAGGAACAGGAGAGAGAGGUUUUGCUAAAAGCACUUUAUGUCAGACCUUAUGUAUGUGUAGAUACAUUACUCUAUUUAAUGUAAAUCAUAUAGAGUUUUUAGAAAAUCUCUUACUCUGAGGAGCUCGUUGAAAAUGGGGUUGACAGUCUUCUUCUUCACAGACGUUUUCCUCUUCCCUAGAUUGGCUUUGUCAGGCACCAGGUAACUUUUAACAUACCUACGACAAGAAACACAAGAAUCAUACACACAAAGUACCAUGUAUUUCAGCAGUGUCCAAUCAAAUAUCGAGUAGUAAAUAAGAAAGCAAGGCUAUAUAUUCCCAACAUUUAGGGACCAUAAGGAAUCCAAUCAGGGGCCUAGUGUAAUAGUGUACUCACGGGUCAGAGCGGCCCCUCUUGGGGUCGACGGCCGCCAGAUCUUGGCACUGAGCCACAAAGAUGUGGAACUCCCUGAGCUUCUGGACGUAGUUGAUGGAAAACUGGAUGCUCCCCUGCACCUCCACACCUCCAUAGUCGCCACUGUACAUUGUCAUCACACUGCCACUCAGCUAACACACACACAGAGGUAAAAACGUUUAAACAGUUCACAUAAAACCAUAGCCAUGCAGGCAGUUCUCAUUAAAGUCAGGAUGUGAAAAACUAUCAAAUUUGUGGUUAACGGGACAAUUAAGAGAUUUAAUAAGACUGUUAAUAUUGUAUAAUCAUGAUAGUUGCCAAUAGAAAAUGGUUAGGCAGAAAAUGUGCAUGCUUUGAAUGUGAACAGUGGUUGUGUCUUAGCAGGGCAUGCGUGAAGUGAACAUACAGAGGACACAGAUGCCAUGCCAGAGGAGCUGCUGAGUUUAGUCAUAGAUCUGCCCGUGUUCUGCCUGCCACCAUGGUAACUGUCCUCAGAGGCGGAGUCAGUGUCUCUGCCAUCGCUCUAGAACACAGACAGCAGAGCUAGAAUGCCCAGUGCACAUACAGACAUACAGUGUUCUUUGACUUAAAGCGCUCACAUGGAAUAAAGCUGCAGUGACUUUACCUCAUGUUGUAGGAACGAGGGAACAGACUUGCUCAUCUUCUUCAAAUGCUCAGUGUCAGAGUAGAGGGAUGAGGAGGCAGAGGGGAGUGUAGAUGCUGAGGGAGGACAUAAAGAGAGGUAUGAGAGGUUAAUUGUUCGGCUUGGUACUAAAACCAUCAGAAACUUUUACAGAUGCACAGCCUGGAAGGCAACUGCACCGCCCACAACCGCAGGACUCUCCAGAGGGUGGUGCGGUCUGCCCAACGCAUCACCGGAGGCCAGGCCAAAAAGAUCAUCAAGGACAACAACCACCUGAGCCACUGCCUGUUCACCCCGCUAUCAUCCAGGAGGCGAGAAUAAGGGAUGCUCGAUUAAAAGGAUUGUGCCUUGGCUGGAAUGAGAAGAGAAGAACAUGAUUAGGAAAUGCAAUUGGUUUAUGAAUCUAUAUUUCAUAAUACUGUCAUACUGUGAUAUGGUGAUUGGAAAAUCAGAAGUAAAUCUGAACAAGAUUAAAAUGCUUUGUUUGUUUAUUCUGUUCAUGCUUCACAUAUAUUCUCUGCAAAUGAAAUCUCACAUACCCUUCCCGGGGAGCGCACCAC